rnacentral:rRNA from 1 species
UACGGAGGGUGCGAGCGUUGUCCGGAAUCAUUGGGCGUAAAGGGCGCGUAGGUGGCUUCUUAAGCGUGCGGUGAAAGCCUGGGGCUCAACCCCGGGUCGGCCGUGCGAACUGGGGGGGCUGGAGCACUGUAGAGGCAGGCGGAAUUCCGGGUGUAGCGGUGGAAUGCGUAGAGAUCCGGAAGAACACCGGUAGCGAAGGCGGUCUGCUGGGCAGUUGCUGACACUGAGGCGCGACAGCGUGGGGAGCAAACAGG